rnacentral:rRNA from 1 species
GACGUAGGGGGCCAGCGUUGCUCGGAAUUACUGGGUGUAAAGGGUUCGUAGGCGGUGCGGCAAGUUGGGAGUGAAAUCUCUGGGCUUAACCCAGAGGCUGCUUCCAAAACUGCUGUGCUCGAGUGUGGGAGAGGCGCGUGGAAUUGCAGGUGUAGCGGUGAAAUGCGCAGAUAUCAGGAAGAACACCAAUGGCGAAGGCAGCUCUCUGGGACGGUACUGACGCUGAGACGCGAAAGCGUGGGGAGCGAACAGG